GCUAGUACUGGACCUAUGAAGUGGGAAAGGGGGCCUGGGAUCUGGGCAGGGAAACAGACAGAGGGGCCAUGCCAGUACUUGGGGAUCUGCAAAUGUGGGUGUGCUUGUGAAUCUACGGUGUCGUGUGUGUGCUUUCACCAGUGAACUUCAAUCCUGACCAGCUGAAGAGG